rnacentral:rRNA from 1 species
AACGAACGCUGGCGGCAUGCCUAACACAUGCAAGUCGAACGAGACCUUCGGGUCUAGUGGCGCACGGGUGCGUAACGCGUGGGAACCUGCCCUUAGGUUCGGAAUAACUCCCCGAAAGGGGUGCUAAUACCGGAUAAUGUCUUCGGACCAAAGAUUUAUCGCCUUUGGAUGGGCCCGCGUUGGAUUAGCUAGUUGGUAGGGUAAAAGCCUACCAAGGCGACGAUCCAUAGCUGGUCUGAGAGGAUGAUCAGCCACACUGGGACUGAGACACGGCCCAGACCCCUACGGGGGGAAGGAGGGGGGAAUAUGGGAAAAUGGGCGAAAGCCUGACCCAGCAAUGCCGGGUGAGUGAUGAAGGCCUUAGGGUUGUAAAGCUCUUUUACCCGGGAUGAUAAUGACAGUCCCGGGAAAAUAAGCCCCGGUGAACCCCGU